UCUGAUUCUUUUUCCCCUUCGCACGCGGCUUCCUUCCUCCCGAGUUCUUCUUGCGUUUCCCUCUCGGACGAUCGCCGGCCCAACGAAGCAGCACCCUGCAACGAUCGACCCUCGGUAGCACCCCAUCUCCUUCAUUGAUCGAGCUCACUUUGAGGUUGUUCUUCCUCCCGAGUUGACGCAUCCGCCCGGGCAAUCCCUCGUUGGAGGGAAGGAAGAUCCGAACCCUAGCCGUCGACAUUUUCUCCGACCACACGGCGGCACCAUAUCACCGCGAGCACCAGUGGCGUUGCUCUUCCACCUCUGGCCAGUCGUCGUUGUCCCUCCUCUAUUCUUGAUCAGUGCCCUAGCUGCCAUCGCUCGGUCAUCACCACUUGAUCGAGCCAGCACCACCUGAUCGUCGGCGUGGGUGCGGCCUCAACCAAUCAUUCGCUUGUCUGGAUUUCCACGGGUACAGUGCCGAGUUUUCCCACUUUCUUCCAUCACUGGCAAUGAAUCUUUACCUUGCGGAAAUCUUGAAGGUGUUUGAUGAAUUGCCUUAAGCUUCUUGUUUCCUCUGUUUGUGUCGGACCAGCUGUGUUUGGUGGGUAAUCUCCAUUUCCCUCCAUAGUAGGCAAUAAACCUCUAUCGAUGGUUGUGUAUCCCGAUCAGCCACUUCCGGAUUGGGGACUUAGAUUCGGGAUGAGCGUCUCGACGCGGGAUUACUUGGCACGAUCUAUAUUUAAGGC